rnacentral:lncRNA from 1 species
AUAAAUAUAAAAAAAUGAUAAUUUUUUAUUGAUAUGAUUCAUAUUUGCAUCACAAAAAGUAAUUGAAAAAUGUAUUAUUGGUGUCGUCAGGCCGAAUGUGUGCCACAGGGUGGUGGCUAACGGUUGUGGGUAGGAUUUUUGCAUACAAGUUGUGGUAUCGACUCCUUCUCUUGAUCGUGAUUGUAAUACCCAAUUAUUGUCCAGGGCCCAAAAUCAUUUACACAAACCAAAUACUAAAACUAAAUACAUUUAACCCAAAUAACUCAAACUACAAGCCCAUUAACCUAAACCCAAGCCCAACUACAAUAUAGCCCAAGGGAGAAACCCUAAGCAGUUAGCAGCAGACAGCACCGCAUGCCCCACGUUCGGUAGCCUCCACAUCGCCCACGUUCAGCCCUCCGCGCGCACGACGCACCUCUUUCAUGUUUUCCAU